rnacentral:rRNA from 1 species
UACCAGCACCCCGAGUUGUCGGGACGAUUAUUGGGCCUAAAGCAUCCGUAGCCUGUUCUGCAAGUCCUCCGUUAAAUCCACCUGCUCAACGGAUGGGCUGCGGAGGAUACCGCAGAGCUAGGAGGCGGGAGAGGCAAACGGUACUCAGUGGGUAGGGGUAAAAUCCAUUGAUCUACUGAAGACCACCAGUGGCGAAGGCGGUUUGCCAGAACGCGCUCGACGGUGAGGGAUGAAAGCUGGGGGAGCAAACCGGAUUAGAAACCCUAGUAGUCC